ensembl:snRNA U6 U6 spliceosomal RNA
UUGCUCUCACUUCUGUAUUAUAUGUACUGAAGUUAGAGCAAUACAGAGCUUGCAUAGCCACUGUACAAGGAUGACAUACAAAUUCAUGAUGCACUCCACAAAUUU